UCAGUAGGAGACCCAAUUUAAAAUCACGAUUCACGACUCAUGAGGUGACGGAGAUGGAAAAGGCGCGCUUUAAGCAGUUUGUUUCAUGUUCCCGCUAUAGUGUUUGCAGACUACAAUCCGGCAGUGCUUUUUCUCUGCCUCGAAAGUCGAAACCAGUUCUUCUUCUCUCCUCCCCUGCCUUAUCUAUAUUGAGAUUCGAGAUACAUCUCAAAUAAGGAAAGAAGAUUCAUCUUUAACCAAAGGCGAAGGUUUGUAGCAUUGUAUGGCCGGAAAUUGUUUUAUUCUGCAUCUGGAUUCCGGAAGAUACGUGAAAUGGGGAGUAUCCAAAUUGGCAUUUGUUGUACUGUUUAAAUAUUGUCACUGCAGAUAUUCAUUUAUUUACUUUAGGGAGCUUAUUGCAAAGGGAUAAAAGCAGGAGGCCGAUCUACGAGCAACUGAGCCCUUGAAUCUUAAAAGGAGGCCCUGCUGCUUCAUGCUUUAGAAACUGAAUAUCUUAAGGCAGGGUCUCACUCAGCAAGUCCAGAACCUCAAGGUAGAAUCAGAAAGAUUAAAAUCUGAUAAUAAGCAGCUUCCAAACUUAAGGCAAGGGAAUGAUCGGCUAAACAUGGAGCUUUACAUGCCAGCAUGGGUGUUACAGAUAGUGACGCUCAAAUCGAAUCAGCAUAAUCUAUUUCCUUUUGGCUGGCCCUUACGACUGUUGGCAUGAGGCAUGACGCUCAAAUUUUGAAUGGGUAGCAACUAGCAACGCGUCUGAUCCUUGAAGUUGAAGAGAUAUGGUUAGUGAUAGUGAUAUGAUAAUUUGAUCUAGUUGAUCGACGGUAGACGCAAUUUCUUUCAUUCAGUGGUGGUUCUUAACUUUGGGAGGGCGGCUCGGAGCUGGCAUAAAUUGUUUUAUGAAAGAAAAAUGAAUGGAAAUUUGAAAAAUUAACUUAGUGCACUGUGGACCAUGCCAUGCUGUACGUGGGACUUACCCAACAGGCACAGUCCGGCAGUCCGGGCUGGGGUCGGGUGCGUGCUGUGCUUGGCACGGCACAGCACUGCAAUGUAGCCCAUGACCCACAUUAUGUCAGGUUAGACCGGCCCAUGGAUAUUUAACACGGGAUGUGGGCUAAACUGGUCCAUUUCA